rnacentral:misc_RNA from 1 species
GGAAGUAAAAGUCUAACAAGGUUUCCGUAGGUGAACCUGCGGAAGGAUCAUUAAUAACACUUUUUUUAGUGUCUCCCAUUUUCUUCAACCCCCCACAUGGCGAACUUUGUGCCGGAUCUCCCGGUUUUUUUCCUUUUUUUUUCCUUUUCUUAUUUCUAACUAAAACCCCAUUGAAAAACCUCUUUUUGUGACUGAAAAAUGAUCCCUCCCGCACUCUCAGUAGUGGGUUGGGAACAACCAAUAUAUUAUCUUAAUUGAAAAAACAACUCUUAGCAACGGAUAUCUUGGCUCUC